GCCGCUGUAGCUCAACACCUGGCAGAGCGCCCGAGUGAAGCCCGGGAGGCUGCGAGUUCGAUCCUCGCCGGCGGCACCA
rnacentral:tRNA from 1 species